UACGUAGGGGGCAAGCGUUGUCCGGAAUCAUUGGGCGUAAAGAGCGUGUAGGCGGCCCGGUAAGUCCGCUGUGAAAGUCCAGGGCUCAACCCUGGAAUGCCGGUGGAAACUGUCGGGCUAGAGUCCGGAAGAGGCGAGUGGAAUUCCUGGUGUAGCGGUGAAAUGCGCAGAUAUCAGGAGGAACACCAUGGCGAAGGCAGCUCGCUGGGACGGUACUGACGCUGGAGACGCGAAAGCGUGGGGAGCAAACAGG
rnacentral:rRNA from 1 species